rnacentral:rRNA from 1 species
GAUGAACGCUGGCGGCGUGCCUAAUACAUGCAAGUCGAGCGAAUGGAUUAAGAGCUUGCUCUUAUGAAGUUAGCGGCGGACGGGUGAGUAACACGUGAGUAACCUACCUAUAAGACUGGGAUAACUCCGGGAAACCGGGGCUAAUACCGGAUAAUAUUUUGAACCGCAUGGUUCAAUAGUGAAAGACGGUUUCGGCUGUCACUUAUAGAUGGACCCGCGCCGUAUUAGCUAGUUGGUAAGGUAACGGCUUACCAAGGCGACGAUACGUAGCCGACCUGAGAGGGUGAUCGGCCACACUGGAACUGAGACACGGCCCAGACUCCUACGGGAGGCAGCAGUAGGGAAUCUUCCGCAAUGGGCGAAAGCCUGACGGAGCAACGCCGCGUGAGUGAUGAAGGUCUUCGGAUCGUAAAACUCUGUUGUUAGGGAAGAACAAAUUUGUUAGUAACUGAACAAGUCUUGACGGUACCUGACCAGAAAGCCACGGCUAACUACGUGCCAGCAGCAGCCGCAG